rnacentral:rRNA from 1 species
GACGAACGCUGGCGGCGUGCUUAACACAUGCAAGUCGUACGGUAAGGCCCUUUCGGGGGUACACGAGUGGCGAACGGGUGAGUAACACGUGAGUAACCUGCCCACAACUUUGGGAUAACGCUAGGAAACUGGUGCUAAUACUGGAUAUGUGCUCCUGCUGCAUGGUGGGGGUUGGAAAGCUCCGGCGGUUGUGGAUGGACUCGCGGCCUAUCAGCUUGUUGGUGGGGUAGUGGCCUACCAAGGCGGCGACGGGUAGCCGGCCUGAGAGGGUGACCGGCCACAUUGGGACUGAGAUACGGCCCAGACUCCUACGGGAGGCAGCAGUGGGGAAUAUUGCACAAUGGGCGCAAGCCUGAUGCAGCAACGCCGCGUGCGGGAUGACGGCCUUCGGGUUGUAAACCGCUUUCAGCAGGGACGAGGCUUUUUGUGACGGUACCUGCAGAAGAAGCACCGGCUAACUACGUG